rnacentral:misc_RNA from 1 species
AAAAUAUCUGCUAAGUAGGGAUUUUGGUUCAUUCGUGAACCAUCAUCCUGAACAGCCCCCCUUGAGGGACUCCUUUGUGAACUACAACGUACACGUGGGGACUUUUAGCUUUAUUGUUAAAAUGGAGGUUCUGCUUUCAGCAGCUCCUCUUCGCCCCACUACCCCCAACACCGUAAUAAACAAUUGUGUUAAAUAUGAGAAAUCAAUGAGAAA